ACGCUCGACACCUACGGAGGCAGCAGUGGGGAAUAUUGCACAAUGGGGGAAACCCUGAUGCAGCGACGCCGCGUGAAGGAAGAAGUAUUUCGGUAUGUAAACUUCUAUCAGCAGGGAAGAAAAUGACGGUACCUGACUAAGAAGCCCCGGCUAACUACGUGCAAGCAGCCGCGGUAAUCUGAGCGGGCUGGCAAGGC
rnacentral:rRNA from 1 species